GCGCGCAUAGCUCAGUGGUAGAGCGUUUGCUUGACAUGCAAAAGGCCGGAGGUUCAAUCCCUCCUGCGCGCA
rnacentral:tRNA from 1 species